GAUCUACCCAUGUCCAGGGUGAAGUUCAGGUAACACUGAAUGGAGGCCCGAACCCACGCACGUUGAAAAGUGCGGGGAUGAGGUGUGGGUAGCGGAGAAAUUCCAAUCGAACCUGGAGAUAGCUGGUUCUCCCCGAAAUAGCUUUAGGGCUAGCCUUAAGUGUAAGAGUCUUGGAGGUAGAGCACUGAUUGGACUAGGGGUCCUCAUCGGAUUACCGAAUUCAGUCAAACUCCGAAUGCCAAUGACUUAUCCUUAGGAGUCAGACUGCGAGUGAUAAGAUCCGUAGUCAAAAGGGAAACAGCCCAGACCGCCAGCUAAGGUCCCAAAGUGUGUAUUAAGUGGAAAAGGAUGUGGAGUUGCUUAGACAACUAGGAUGUUGGCUUAGAAGCAGCCACCAUUUAAAGAGUGCGUAAUAGCUCACUAGUCGAGUGACUCUGCGCCGAAAAUGUACCGGGGCUAAAUACACCACCGAAGCUGCGGAUUGAUACCAAUGGUAUCAGUGGUAGGGGAGCGUUCUAAGGACAGUGAAGUCAGACCGGAAGGACUGGUGGAGUGCUUAGAAGUGAGAAUGCCGGUAUGAGUAGCGAAAGACGGGUGAGAAUCCCGUCCACCGAAUGCCUAAGGUUUCCUGAGGAAGGCUCGUCCGCUCAGGGUUAGUCAGGACCUAAGCCGAGGCCGACAGGCGUAGGCGAUGGACAACAGGUUGAUAUUCCUGUACCACCUCUUUAUCGUUUGAGCAAUGGAGGGACGCAGAAGGAUAGAAGAAGCGUGCGAUUGGUUGUGCACGUCCAAGCAGUUAGGCUGAUAAGUAGGCAAAUCCGCUUAUCGUGAAGGCUGAGCUGUGAUGGGGAAGCUCCUUAUGGAGCGAAGUCUUUGAUUCCCCGCUGCCAAGAAAAGCUUCUAGCGAGAUAAAAGGUGCCUGUACCGCAAACCGACACAGGUAGGCGAGGAGAGAAUCCUAAGGUGUGCGAGAGAACUCUGGUUAAGGAACUCGGCAAAAUGACCCCGUAACUUCGGGAGAAGGGGUGCUUUCUUAACGGAAAGCCGCAGUGAAUAGGCCCAAGCGACUGUUUAGCAAAAACACAGCUCUCUGCGAAGCCGUAAGGCGAAGUAUAGGGGGUGACACCUGCCCGGUGCUGGAAGGUUAAGGAGAGGGGUUAGCGUAAGCGAAGCUCUGAACUGAAGCCCCAGUAAACGGCGGCCGUAACUAUAACGGUCCUAAGGUAGCGAAAUUCCUUGUCGGGUAAGUUCCGACCCGCACGAAAGGUGUAACGAUUUGGGCACUGUCUCAACCAGAGACUCGGUGAAAUUAUAGUACCUGUGAAGAUGCAGGUUACCCGCGACAGGACGGAAAGACCCCGUGGAGCUUUACUGUAGCCUGAUAUUGAAUUUUGGUACAGUUUGUACAGGAUAGGCGGGAGCCUUUGAAACCGGAGCGCUAGCUUCGGUGGAGGCGCUGGUGGGAUACCGCCCUGACUGUAUUGAAAUUCUAACCUACGGGUCUUAUCGACCCGGGAGACAGUGUCAGGUGGGCAGUUUGACUGGGGCGGUCGCCUCCUAAAGUGUAACGGAGGCGCCCAAAGGUUCCCUCAGAAUGGUUGGAAAUCAUUCGUAGAGUGCAAAGGCAUAAGGGAGCUUGACUGCGAGACCUACAAGUCGAGCAGGGACGAAAGUCGGGCUUAGUGAUCCGGUGGUUCCGCAUGGAAGGGCCAUCGCUCAACGGAUAAAAGCUACCCCGGGGAUAACAGGCUUAUCUCCCCCAAGAGUCCACAUCGACGGGGAGGUUUGGCACCUCGAUGUCGGCUCAUCGCAUCCUGGGGCUGUAGUCGGUCCCAAGGGUUGGGCUGUUCGCCCAUUAAAGCGGUACGCGAGCUGGGUUCAGAACGUCGUGAGACAGUUCGGUCCCUAUCCGUCGUGGGCGUAGGAAAUUUGAGAGGAGCUGUCCUUAGUACGAGAGGACCGGGAUGGACGCACCGCUGGUGUACCAGUUGUUCUGCCAAGGGCAUAGCUGGGUAGCUAUGUGCGGAAGGGAUAAGUGCUGAAAGCAUCUAAGCAUGAAGCCCCCCUCAAGAUGAGAUUUCCCAUAGCGUAAGCUAGUAAGAUCCCUGAAAGAUGAUCAGGUUGAUAGGUUCGAGGUGGAAGCAUGGUGACAUGUGGAGCUGACGAAUACUAAUAGAUCGAGGACUUAACCAU
rnacentral:rRNA from 1 species